rnacentral:rRNA from 1 species
GACGAACGCUGGCGGCGUGCUUCACACAUGCAAGUCGAACGGAAAGGCCCUGCUUUUGUGGGGUGCUCGAGUGGCGAACGGGUGAGUAACACGUGAGUAACCUGCCCUUGACUUUGGGAUAACUUCAGGAAACUGGGGCUAAUACCGGAUAGGAGCUCCUGCUGCAUGGUGGGGGUUGGAAAGUUUCGGCGGUUGGGGAUGGACUCGCGGCUUAUCAGCUUGUUGGUGGGGUAGUGGCUUACCAAGGCUUUGACGGGUAGCCGGCCUGAGAGGGUGACCGGCCACAUUGGGACUGAGAUACGGCCCAGACUCCUACGGGAGGCAGCAGGGGGGAAUAUUGCACAAUGGGCGGAAGCCUGAUGCAGCAACGCCGCGUGCGGGAUGACGGCCUUCGGGUUGUAAACCGCUUUCGCCUGUGACGAAGCGUGAGUGACGGUAAUGGGUAAAGAAGCACCGGCUAACUACGUG